UAGGCUAAUGCGAUUAGCAUGAGGUUGAGCUAACGUAGGCUAACGCGAUUAGCAUGAAGGUUGAGCUAACGUAGGCUAAUGCGAUGAGCAUGAAGGUUGAGCUAACGUAGGCUAAUGCGAUUAGCAUGAGGUUGAGCUAACGCAGGCUAAUGCGAUGAGCAUGAAGGUUGAGCUAACGUAGGCUAAUGCGAUUAGCAUGAGGUUGAGCUAACGUAGGCUAACGCGAUUAGCAUGAAGGUUGAGCUAACGUAGGCUAAUGCGAUGAGCAUGAAGGUUGAGCUAACGUAGGCUAAUGCGAUGAGCAUGAAGGUUGAGCUAACGUAGGCUAAUGCGAUUAGCAUGAGGUUGAGCUAACGCAGGCUAACGCGAUUAGCAUGAAGGUUGAGCUAACGUAGGCUAAUGCGAUGAGCAUGAAGGUUGAGCUAACGUAGGCUAAUGCGAUUAGCAUGAGGUUGAGCUAACGUAGGCUAAUGCGAUGAGCAUGAAGGUUGAGCUAACGUAGGCUAACGCGAUUAGCAUGAGGUUGAGCUAACGUAGGCUAACGCGAUUAGCAUGAGGUUGAGCUAACGUAGGCUAACGCGAUUAGCAUGAGGUUGAGCUAACGUAGGCUAACGCGAUUAGCAUGAGGUUGAGCUAACGUAGGCUAAUGCGAUUAGCAUGAGGUUGAGCUAACGUAGGCUAACGCGAUUAGCAUGAGGUUGAGCUAACGUAGGCUAACGCGAUUAGCAUGAGGUUGAGCUAACGUAGGCUAACGCGAUUAGCAUGAAGGUUGAGCUAACGUAGGCUAAUGCGAUGAGCAUGAAGGUUGAGCUAACGUAGGCUAAUGCGAUUAGCAUGAGGUUGAGCUAACGCAGGCUAAUGCGAUGAGCAUGAAGGUUGAGCUAACGUAGGCUAAUGCGAUUAGCAUGAGGUUGAGCUAACGUAGGCUAACGCGAUGAGCAUGAAGGUUGAGCUAACGUAGGCUAAUGCGAUUAGCAUGAGGUUGAGCUAACGUAGGCUAAUGCGAUUAGCAUGAGGUUGUAAGUAACAAGAACAUUUCCCAGGACAUAGACAUACAUAUCUGUUAUGCUGUGAAAGUCCAAUUUACAGUAGCUAUUACAGUGAAAUAAUAACAUGCUAUUUGUUUUGAGGAGAGUGAACAAUUAUGAACUAGAACAUGUAUUCAUAAACCAAUUAGGCACAUUUGGUGGGGUAUUGAUACAGAAUUUUGAACAGAAAUGCAAUGGUUCAUUGGAUCAGUCUAAAACGUUUCACAUACACUGCUUCCAUCUAGUGGCCAAAAUCUAAAUUGCACCUGGACUGGAAUAAUACAUGAUGGCCUUUCUCUCUCAUUUCAACGAUGAUGGUACAAACAACAACAAAUAAUGUUUAUUAUCUUUUACAAGAUCUAAUGUGUUAUAAUUCUCCUACAUUAAUUUUACAUUUCCACAAACUUCAAAGUGUUUCCUUUUCAAAUGGUAUCAAUAAUAUGCAGAUCCUAGAUUCAGGUCCUGAGCUACAGACAGUCAGAUCCUAGAUUCAGGUCCUGAGCUAAAGACAGUCAGAUCCUUGAUUCAGGUCCUGAGCUAAAGACAGUUAGAUCCUAGAUUCAGGUCCUGAGCUACAGACAGUCAGAUCCUAGAUUCAGGUCCUGAGCUACAGACAGUUAGAUCCUAGAUUCAGGUCCUGAGCUACAGACAGUUAGAUCCUUGAUUCAUGUCCUGAGCUACAGACAGUUAGAUCCUUGAUUCAUGUCCUGAGCUACAGACAGUUAGAUCCUAGAUUCAGGUCCUGAGCUACAGACAGUCAGGUCCUGAGCUACAAACAGUUAGAUCCUUGAUUCAUGUCCUGAGCUACAGACAGUCAGAUCCUAGAUUCAGGUCCUGAGCUACAGACAGUUAGAUCCUAGAUUCAGGUCCUGAGCUACAGACAGUCAGAUCCUUGAUUCAGGUCCUGAGCUACAGACAGUCAGAUCCUUGAUUCAGGUCCUGAGCUACAGACAGUUAGAUCCUAGAUUCAGGUCCUGAGCUACAGACAGUUAGAUCCUUGAUUCAGGUCCUGAGCUACAGACAGUCAGGUCCUGAGCUACAGACAGUUAGAUCCUUGAUUCGGGUCCUGCGCUACAGACAGUUAGAUCCUUGAUUCAUGUCCUGAGCUACAGACAGUUAGAUCCUAGAUUCAGGUCCUGAGCUACAGACAGUCAGGUCCUGAGCUACAGACAGUUAGAUCCUUGAUUCAUGUCCUGAGCUACAGACAGUUAGAUCCUUGAUUCAUGUCCUGAGCUACAGACAGUUAGAUCCUGAGCUACAGACAGUCAGGUCCUGAGCUACAGACAGUUAGAUCCUUGAUUCAGGUCCUGAGCUACAGACAGUUAGAUCCUGAGCUACAGACAGUUAGAUCCUUGAUUCAUGUCCUGAGCUACAGACAGUCAGGUCCUGAGCUACAGACAGUCAGGUCCUGAGCUACAGACAGUUAGAUCCUGAGCUACAGACAGUUAGAUCCUGAGCUACAGACAGUUAGAUCCUGAGCUACAGACAGUUAGAUCCUGAGCUACAGACAGUUAGAUCCUGAGCUACAGACAGUUAGAUCCUGAGCUACAGACAGUCAGGUCCUGAGCUACAGACAGUCAGGUCCUGAGCUACAGACAGUUAGAUCCUGAGCUACAGACAGUUAGAUCCUGAGCUACAGACAGUUAGAUCCUGAGCUACAGACAGUUAGAUCCUGAGCUACAGACAGUCAGGUCCUGAGCUACAGACAGUUAGAUCCUUGAUUCAUGUCCUGAGCUACAGACAGUUAGAUCCUUGAUUCAUGUCCUGAGCUACAGACAGUUAGAUCCUGAGCUACAGACAGUCAGGUCCUGAGCUACAAACAGUUAGAUCCUUGAUUCAUGUCCUGAGCUACAGACAGUCAGAUCCUAGAUUCAGGUCCUGAGCUACAGACAGUUAGAUCCUAGAUUCAGGUCCUGAGCUACAGACAGUUAGAUCCUAGAUUCAGGUCCUGAGCUACAGACAGUUAGAUCCUUGAUUCAGGUCCUGAGCUACAGACAGUCAGGUCCUGAGCUACAGACAGUUAGAUCCUUGAUUCGGGUCCUGAGCUACAGACAGUUAGAUCCUUGAUUCAUGUCCUGAGCUACAGACAGUUAGAUCCUAGAUUCAGGUCCUGAGCUACAGACAGUCAGGUCCUGAGCUACAGACAGUUAGAUCCUUGAUUCAUGUCCUGAGCUACAGACAGUUAGAUCCUUGAUUCAUGUCCUGAGCUACAGACAGUUAGAUCCUGAGCUACAGACAGUCAGGUCCUGAGCUACAGACAGUUAGAUCCUUGAUUCAGGUCCUGAGCUACAGACAGUUAGAUCCUGAGCUACAGACAGUUAGAUCCUUGAUUCAUGUCCUGAGCUACAGACAGUCAGGUCCUGAGCUACAGACAGUCAGGUCCUGAGCUACAGACAGUUAGAUCCUGAGCUACAGACAGUUAGAUCCUGAGCUACAGACAGUUAGAUCCUGAGCUACAGACAGUUAGAUCCUGAGCUACAGACAGUCAGGUCCUGAGCUACAGACAGUCAGGUCCUGAGCUACAGACAGUUAGAUCCUGAGCUACAGACAGUUAGAUCCUGAGCUACAGACAGUUAGAUCCUGAGCUACAGACAGUUAGAUCCUGAGCUACAGACAGUUAGAUCCUUGAUUCAUGUCCUGAGCUACAGACAGUCAGGUCCUGAGCUACAGACAGUCAGGUCCUGAGCUACAGACAGUUAGAUCCUGAGCUACAGACAGUUAGAUCCUGAGCUACAGACAGUUAGAUCCUGAGCUACAGACAGUCAGGUCCUGAGCUACAGACAGUCAGGUCCUGAGCUACAGACAGUUAGAUCCUGAGCUACAGACAGUUAGAUCCUGAGCUACAGACAGUUAGAUCCUGAGCUACAGACAGUUAGAUCCUGAGCUACAGACAGUUAGAUCCUUGAUUCAUGUCCUGAGCUACAGACAGUCAGGUCCUGAGCUACAGACAGUCAGGUCCUGAGCUACAGACAGUUAGAUCCUGAGCUACAGACAGUUAGGUCCUGAGCUACAGACAGUUAGAUCCUUGAUUCAGGUCCUGAGCUACAGACAGUCAGGUCCUGAGCUACAGACAGUUAGAUCCUGAGCUACAGACAGUUAGGUCCUGAGCUACAGACAGUCAGGUCCUGAGCUACAGACAGUUAGAUCCUGAGCUACAGACAGUUAGAUCCUGAGCUACAGACAGUUAGAUCCUGAGCUACAGACAGUCAGGUCCUAGAUUCAGACGGGGGGGGAAACAGGCGGAUUUGUCUGGAUUUGAUCAGAGUUUUGAUCGAAACUCGAUUCUGAUCCUACCUGAUUCUACCUGAUCCUGCCUGAUCCUACCUGAUCCUACCUGAAUCUACCUGAUCCUGCCUGAUUCUACCUGAUCCUACCUGAAUCUACCUGAUCCUGCCUGAUUCUACCUGAUCCUACCUGAUCCUGCCUGAUCCUACCUGAAUCUACCAGAUCCUGCCUGAUCCUGCCCGAUCCUACCUGAAUCUACCUGAUCCUGCCUGAUCCAACCUGAUCCAACCUGAUCCUACCUGAAUCUACCUGAUCCUACCUGAAUCUACCUGAUCCAACCUGAUCCUGGUCAUAUGGACAGUGCUCUGAUGCUGGUCAUAGGGACAGUGCUCUGAUGCUGGUCAUAGGGACAGUGCUCUGAUGCUGGUCAUAGGGACAGUGCUCUGAUGCUGGUCAUAGGGACAGUGCUCUGAUGCUGGUCAUUGGGACAGUGCUCUGAUGCUGGUCAUUGGGACAGUGUCUGAUGCUGGUCAUAAGGACAGUGCUCUGAUGCUGGUCAUAGGGACAGUGCUCUGAUGCUGGUCAUAGGGACAGUGCUCUGAUGCUGGUCAUAGGGACAGUGCUCUGAUGCUGGUCAUAGGGACAGUGCUCUGAUGCUGGUCAUUGGGACAGUGCUCUGAUGCUGGUCAUAGGGACAGUGCUCUGAUGCUGGUCAUUGGGACAGUGCUCUGAUGCUGGUCAUAGGGACAGUGCUCUGAUGCUGGUCAUUGGGACAGUGCUCUGAUGCUGGUCAUAGGGACAGUGCUCUGAUGCUGGUCAUUGGGACAGUGCUCUGAUGCUGGUCAUAGGGACAGUGCUCUGAUGCUGGUCAUAGGGACAGUGCUCUGAUGCUGGUCACUGGGACAGUGCUCUGAUGCUGGUCAUUGGGACAGUGUCUGAUGCUGGUCACUGGGACAGUGCUCUGAUGCUGGUCAUUGGGACAGUGUCUGAUGCUGGUCACUGGGACAGUGUCUGAUGCUGGUCAUAGGGACAGUGCUCUGAUGCUGGUCAUUGGGACAGUGCUCUGAUGCUGGUCAUAGGGACAGUGCUCUGAUGCUGGUCUGAUAACUCUGU